CUGGUUGAUUCUGCCAGUUGGCAUAUGCUCGUCUCUAAGAUUAAGCCAUGCAUGUCUGAGUUCAUACAAGUAAACGUGAGACUGCGAAAGGCUCAGUACAUCAGUUAUAGUUUAUUCGAUUGUGAAAUCCACAUGGAUAACCGUGGAAAAUCUAGAGCUAAUACAUGCGAACAAAUUCUAUUCAAUGGAGCAAUCCGUUGGUAGAUGAUGCAUUUAUUAGAUUAAACCAAUCGGUGGUGUGGUGGCGUUUGCCCAUUAUGCCACUGCUGUGGUGAGUCUGGAUAACUGUGCCGAUCGUAUGGCCUCGAGCCGGCGACAUUUCGAUUAAAUUUCUGCCCUAUCAACUUGUUGGUAAGGUAGUGGCUUACCAAGGUGAUAACGGGUAACGGGGAAUCAGGGUUCGAUUCCGGAGAGGGAGCCUGAGAAACGGCUACCACAUCCAAGGACGGCAGCAGGCGCGCAAAUUACCCAAUCCAGACACUGGGAGGUGGUGACGAGAAAUACCAGGUCGGUCCCAAAAGGAUUCGACACUGGAAUGAGUUUAAUUUAAAAAUUUAAACGAGAAACAACUGGAGGGCAAGUCUGGUGCCAGCAGCCGCGGUAAUUCCAGCUCCAGUAGUGUAUCCAAACGUUGCUGCGGUUAAAACGCUCGUAGUUGGACAAGAGAGCAACUUGGUGCGGGCGGGGAGUGUGGAGCUCUAUGUGUUUGCCUGUAGAGGUCGGUGUUGCCCGUAUUGUGUAAAGCUCUACGAGUGCCUGACUUCUCAGGAUGUAGCGUAGUAGUGCACUUGUCGACCAUGCUGCCAGGUUGCUUGUAAUGUUUCGUGAGAAUGGUGCAUGGUCUUUAUUGUAUUGUGCACUGUGUCUCACGUAGUGUGCCUUGAAUAAAUCAGAGUGCUCAAAGCAAGCUAUCGCUUGAAUGUUAAUAGCAUGGAACGAAUGUGUUGUGAGAGUGUGCUAGUGACUGUGCCUCGUGUACGGCCCUAGUGCAUAGCACCAACCGCGAAGCGGAACAUUGGUUGCCGACUUCGGGUGAGGAUUAAGAGGGGCAUUUGGGGGCAUUAGUAUUUGGCCGCGAGAGGUGAAAUUCUUGGACCGGCCAAGGACUAACAAGUGCGAAAGCAUUUGCCAAGUAUGUUCCCUUUAAUCAAGAACGAAAGUGAGAGGUUCGAAGACGAUCAGAUACCGUCCUAGUUCUCACCGUAAACGAUGCCAACCCGGGAUCAGUGCGGAUGAGAUGAUUUGGAUCCAGGUUGGUCCCCCUGGGAAACCUUGAGUGUUUAGGUUCCGGGGGGAGUAUGGUUGCAAGGCUGAAACUUAAAGGAAUUGACGGAAGGGCACCACCAGGGGUGGAGCCUGCGGCUCAAUUUGACUCAACACGGGAAAACUCACCUGGUCCGGACAUCGAUAGGAUUGACAGACUAAUAGAUCUUUCAUGAUACGGUGGGUGGUGGUGCAUGGCCGUUCUUAGUUCGUGGAGCGAUCUGUCAGGUUGAUUCCGGUAACGGACGAGACUGCGAUCUCCAUUUGGGGAAGUGCAGGACAGGUGACAAGGGUGGCCCCAGUGAGGAAGCCUCGGCGGAAUUGCGGGGAAACAGUGGCGCCUGGAACUGGGCUGCGCGCACAGCAAUGUGCGUCCCCAUGGAGAGACAGCCGGAUUGUAAGGCGGAGGAAGCGUGGCAAUAACAGGUCUGUGAUGCCCUUCGAUGUUCAGGGCCGCACGCGCGCUACAAUGAUAACGACAACGAGCGCCUGGACUGAAAAGUUCUGGGAAAUCUUUUGAAUCGUUAUCGUGAUGGGGAUUGAGCAUUGUAAUUGUUGCUCAUGAAAGAGGAAUCCCUUGUAUACGUGUCUCACUUAGGACACGUAGAAUGCGUCUCUGCCCUUUGUACACACCGCCCGUCGCU
rnacentral:rRNA from 1 species